GGAGGGGCUGGGCCUGAGCCUGGAGGGAAGGUCUGAUUUUCAACGCUUAGGCAUGCCAAACGGUUUACUUUCAGAUGUUUUCUUCUUCCCUCUUACUGGCUGGUCCCUCCCUCCCUUCCCAGGUCACUUAAAAGACAUUCCCUCAAGAGCAAAGAGAAAAGACAUCCCAUCAAGGACGCAGAGCGGAGACAUCCCAUCAAGAGCAAAGGAGAAGUGAUGGAAGAGUUGAGUGUCAAACCCCAGCAACGUCAUCACAUUUAAUCCUUCUGAGGCCUGUGAGUGCGGGUCAUUGUUCCCAUUUACUGUCAAGAGGAUGGAGGCAAGGAGCAGAGGUGGCCUGUGAAUUGCUGGAGGGCAUGAGUGCUUUGCACCGGUGAGUGCCCACACUCGCCUGCUCCUCAGCCCCUCCUCUUUGCCCUCUAUCCCUUGACCCCUCAGAAAUCAACUCUGUGUUUUUUUAUUUUUUUAGGACAGCAAUGAUUUGUGCAGCAAGUUGGGAAGGUCCCCAGGGGACUGGCCAGGCACAGGGAAGGAAGCCAGUCCCUGCCCUUGUGGCUUCCUGAAGGUGGUUGUGACUGUGCUGGGGUCACGACCCCCCUAAGGAUGACAGGCAAGAUGAAGAGCUGACCCCUGACUUCCCUGAGCUCAGCCAGGGCCUCAAGACUCCUCCAGACUCGUACAGCCUCUCCUCCCACUGCCAGGCUCCCCGUGUUGGCCGCAGUGUGGCACGGAGUGCCUGCGCUAUUUAUUUCCUAAUAAAAAGACAGCCUGGGUGGCCCAUGGAGAUUAAGACAGAGAUUUACUAUGAGAUGAUUAACCAUAAAAUCACAGACUGUUUCUCCAUAUAUCCAAUGCAGAGCCCCGACGGGGAGCUUCUUGCUUGGCACAGGUGAAGGAGCGUGGCCUGUGGCACCGGAUGGGCUGGGGCUUGGAGUCCGGUGUGGCUGUGUCCUGGGGUGGCCUCGGGCAGGUCACUUCUCCAAGGUCAGUUUUCUCCCUACCGGGAUAAUGGUAACAAAGGUGAUGACUGCAAUGAUGAUGAUGAUGGUGAUGGUGGACGACGGUGCUGGUGUGAGGGCUGGCAUUUCCUGGGGGCUUCCCUACACUUCAAUACAUGUUGAAAAACACCACUUGAUUCUAUGUUGAAAAACACCACUUGCUUCAGGG
rnacentral:lncRNA from 1 species